UGAGGAUCAAAGAGGAAUCCUAAUUGAAAUUCAUUAGGGUUUAUGGGUGAGAGAAACUUAUCAUAAAGCCUUAUUUCGUUAUUUCCUCCCCCAAAGUUUCGAUUUUUGCGAUUCUCUGUUUUUCCUUCUCCUCUGCUCUGUUUCUGGUUCUGUAAUCGCAUAGCCUAGUCUUUGUCAUGUAUUCUCUGAUUCUCCAUGGAAGAAGGUUGGUCGAAUUGCAUAAAUGGCGCCAUUUGAGAUUUGCUCUGCAAAAUGCAUCUCCUUUGUCCAAUUCCUUCUCUUCUGCUGCUGCUGCUGAUGUGAGGUCAAGAGAUGGUCGAAAAGGAAAGAACUUUACGGUCUCUUACCUCGUUGAUUCAUUGGGUUUCACUACAAAACUCGCAGAAUCGAUCUCAAGGAAAGUUCAUUUCACCGACAAGGCAAAUCCGGAUUCAGUUCUGAGUCUUUUGAGAAGUCAUGGCUUCAUAGAUUCUCAGAUCUCCUGCAUCAUUACCGAUUAUCCAGAAUUGCUUAUACUAGAUGCUGAGAAAUCACUUGGUCGCAAGCUUCAGAUUCUACAGUCUAGAGGAGCUUCAAGCUCUGAACUCACUGAGAUUGUUUCUACAGUUCCGAGAAUCUUAGGAAGGAAAUCUAUCACUGUAUACUAUGAUGCUGUCAAAGAAAUUAUAGUAGCCGAUAAGAGUUCGAGUUAUGAACUCCCACGGGGUUCUCAGGGGAAUAAAAUCCGAAAUGUAUCUGUUUUGAGACAAUUGGGCAUGCCUCAGUGGUUGUUAUUACCCUUGCUUGUCUCCAAAUCGCAGCCUGUGUGUGGAAAAGAAAAUUUUGAAGAAUCCCUUAAGAAGGUUGUUGAGAUGGGUUUUGAUCCCACCACCUCUAAGUUUGUUGUAGCUUUGCGCAUGCUUUACCAAAUGAGCGAGAAAACGAUUGAAGAAAAAGUUGUAGUCUAUACAAGUGUAGGUUUUACUCUGGAUGAUGUAUGGGAAAUUUUCAAGAAGACUCCUUCCGUUUUGAAAGUCUCCAAGAAGAAGAUAUUGAAGUCUGCUGAAACAUUUCUAGCCCUAGGAUUUAGCAGAGCUGAGUUUUUGAUGAUGGUCAAGCGUUAUCCUCCUUGCAUUGAAUAUUCUCUAGAGUCGGUUAAAAGGAAGAAUGAGUUUCUGGUGAAGAAGAUGAAUUGGCCACUAAAUGCCUUGGUUUUGCACCCUCAGGUGUUUGGAUACAGCAUGGAGAAGAGGAUUAUACCAAGGUGUAACGUACUCAAAGUUCUCUUGUCGAAAGGACUGCUCAGAAAGAAAAGCGAACUACCUGCAGUGUCCUCUGUUUUGUCGUGUACCGAUGAAGGAUUUUUAAAUAGGUAUGUGAUGAAGCACAACGAGCUGGCGCCUACGUUGAUGGCUAUCUUCACCAAAGGUCGUGUUUCAUAGAUCAAAAGGCACACCUACAACAAUGAGCAAUGCCAAGGUUUGUUCUUAUUUUGUUGUUGUCAGUUUUAGAUCUGUCGAUGGAUCUUUUGAUAUGACAAUGGGAAGCAAAAGAAAAGCUUUGUUAAUGUAUCGAUGAAACCCCAAUUUUUGUGCUUCUGUAAUCUCAAUUUGACCUGGAUCCAAUGAUUUCAUGAUAUGUCUAAAAUGUUGCAUGGAUACAUUGGCUCUUUAGUUCUUGUUACGAGCUGCUACGAGAGACGUGUCAAGUUCAAUAUUUUUCUCCUUUUCAUUUCCAUACUUGCUUGUCAAUUUUUUCGCUGCUCUUUUGGAUUAUGUUGUGCGGAAGUUAUGGUUUACAUGGUCUCUACUCUGUAUCAGGUUCGUAUUUUCAAUUAAGAAGCUUUAGUUGGAAUCAAAGUGGAGGACCCUAAUUGAGGAUUUUAAUGGUCGUUGUUAGAACCUUUCUUGUAGUUGGUGGAGUGUAGAAAAAUGAUUUGUUUUCAGGUAACAAAAUGGACAUUUCUUACUCUCUGGAUUCAGAGUUUAUUUGCA